GACGAACGCUGGCGGCGUGCCUAAUACAUGCAAGUAGAACGCUGAAGGAGGAGCUUGCUUCUCUGGAUGAGUUGCGAACGGGUGAGUAACGCGUAGGUAACCUGCCUGGUAGCGGGGGAUAACUAUUGGAAACGAUAGCUAAUACCGCAUAACAGUAGAUAUCGCAUGAUAUCUACUUGAAAGGUGCAAUUGCAUCACUACCAGAUGGACCUGCGUUGUAUUAGCUAGUUGGUGAGGUAACGGCUCACCAAGGCGACGAUACAUAGCCGACCUGAGAGGGUGAUCGGCCACACUGGGACUGAGACACGGCCCAGACUCCUACGGGAGGCAGCAGUAGGGAAUCUUCGGCAAUGGACGGAAGUCUGACCGAGCAACGCCGCGGGAGUGAAGAAGGGUUUCGGAUCGUAAAGCUCUGUUGUAAGAGAAGAACGAGUGUGAGAGUGGAAAGUUCACACUGUGACGGUAUCUUACCAGAAAGGGACGGCUAACUACGUG
rnacentral:rRNA from 1 species